rnacentral:rRNA from 1 species
CCUACGGGAGGCAGCAGUGAGGAAUAUUGGGCAAUGGACGCAAGUCUGAACCAGCAACGCCGCGUGCAGGAAGAAGGCUCUAUGAGUUGAAAACUGUUUUUGUACGAGGGUAAAACCCGAUACGUGUAUCGGGUUGAAAGUAUGGUACGUAUCAGGAACGGCUAACUCCGUGACAGCAGCCGCGGUAAUACGGAGGAUUCAAGGGUUAUCCGGAUUUAUUGGGUUGAAAGGGAGCGUAGGCGGUUCGAUAAGUUAGAGGUGAAAUCACGGGGCUCAACUCCGGCACUGCCUCUGAUACUGUCGGACUUGAGUGUAGUUGCGGUAAGCGGAAUGUAUGGUGUAGCGGUGAAAUGCGUAGAGAUCAUGCAGAACACCGGUUGCGAAGGCAGCUUACCAGUCUGCGACUGACGUUGAGGCACGAAAGCGUGGGGAGCAAACAGGAUUAGAUACCCCAGUAGUC